rnacentral:rRNA from 1 species
UGGGGAAUAUUGGACAAUGGGGGAAACCCUGAUCCAGCAAUGCCGCGUGGAUGAAGAAGGCCUUCGGGUUGUAAAGUCCUUUCACCCGUGAAGAUAAUGACGGUAGCGGGAGAAGAAGCCCCGGCUAACUCUGUGCCAGCAGCCGCGGUAAGACAGAGGGGGCUAGCGUUGUUCGGAAUGACUGGGCGUAAAGGGUGCGUAGGCGGUUGUUUAAGUAGAGUGUUAAAGCCCCGGGCUUAACCCGGGAAUCGCGCUCUAAACUGGACAGCUUGAGUAUGGCAGAGGAGAGUGGAAUUCCUAGUGUAGAGGUGAAAUUCGUAGAUAUUAGGAGGAACACCAGAGGCGAAGGCGACUCUCUGGGCCAUUACUGACGCUGAGGCACGAAAGCGUGGGGAGCAAACAGG